GCCUCGAUGGCUCAGUUGGCAAGAGCGGCUGACUUGUAAUCAGCAGGUCGAGGGUUCAAAUCCCUCUCGAGGCU
rnacentral:tRNA from 1 species